GGGGGUGAUUUGGCUUCGACGGGGGUAGCAGAGCUUGAGGUGCAUGCCGAGAGGGUAGUGACUCUCGUUAAUAAAUCGCUGUAACUUUUUAUAGUUGCCAACGACGAAAACUACGCACUAGCGGCCUAAAAAACCCGCUUACGCUGAUGAUCUUAGCCUGCAGGGUGAAAUCGGCGGCAAAGUUAGCAGGAUCGCGUGGAUAUCUCGUCCGGGGUUGACACGUUAAACUUAAUCGGACUCGCUGAAAACGCCCUGACCGUCGGGUAGCUGGAUGCUAAAUUAGUAGACGGACUCUAAGCAUGUAGAGCCAAUUGCCGAGCGCCAGCGGACGCGGGUUCAACUCCCGCCACCUCCACCA
rnacentral:tmRNA from 1 species